CAGGAUCCGAUGACGCAACUAUUAACUGCGUUAUCUUUCUGCAAUCUUGAAGGGUGCUGAAGAACACAUGGCCUGCUGAGAUCCAUG